GGGUCAGUAGGUUGGUCGUGCCACCGGUACGUACUGGUCUCACUGAUUCCUCCUUCCUGAAGACCCGUAAUGCCAUUAAUUUGGUGUUGCGGGGAAACAGGACUGUUACUUUGAAAAAAUUAGCGUGUUUAAAGCAAGCUAACGCUUGAAUACAUUAGCAUGGAAUAAUGAAAUAGGACGAUCGAUCCUAUUUUGUUGGUUUCUAGGAUUGACGGA
rnacentral:rRNA from 1 species